rnacentral:misc_RNA from 1 species
UGGAUGGUGGUGGCUGGCAGGCUCCGUGCUCGUGCAUCGAACUGUUGGCGCUCCAUCCGCUUCAGUCUUUCCCCAAGCGAAUCUAUUUCCUUGCGGGUGCGUACGGUAUCCUGUGUUGCUUACCUACGGAAAAGGAAUUCGUUGGUUUUGGUGUCCYGAUCCGCCUUGUGCCCCUCGGGGUGCGGGGUGGACAUGGGGCAGGCUCUUUGAUCCCAGCGUGCACGGCGUAAUGUCGCCUGGCCGCUGUGGCCCAUGGGGUCUUUGCCCGUUCUCUCGGAUGCGGAAUGCUAAGCGUGGGCGUGAGGUCUCGGCCUCGAUUUGUCCAAGCACUGUCCCUUGACUCGAACGACCGYCGCGCUCGUCUUGAUCUUCCCGACCAAGGCCCCGUCAUGGGGCUUACUGGACGAGGGCGGGUCAUGCGGGCGUUGGCGUCAARAGGAAUGCUAC